CUCUGACCCUCCCUCUCGCUCUCUCUCUCUCCCUCUCUCAAAAAUAAACAUUAAAAAAAAAAACAACACAGAUAGCUAUCUCCCUCCGAAGUAGAAAGCAGGCUUGUUUGGUGUCCAAUAUAAUACAGAUGCUGUGUUCCUCAGAAACAGGGGUCAGAGAGCUUUGCUGGCAGCCCAUUAUAAAACAUCAGGGUUCCCUAAACUCAGGGUUCUCUAGCCAU